rnacentral:lncRNA from 1 species
CGCUAAACACCACUAGCGCCAACCGCCAGACAGCACUCCACAACCGCUGACCGAGCCUCACCCUUCACCGCUGGGGCAUCACCAAGCACCACCGCUAGCCUAGCUUAGCCGGAUAACCUCCGCUAGCCUGCCUCCACCAGACAAACGUCGCUAGCCAACCCGCUAGACCGGCCUCUGCUUUCCAUGCACCGCUAACCAUACUCCGCUUCAAUCUUUGGCGGAUAAAUGAACUUCAAUUGGUAGCGGAGCUUCGAUCCUCGUGGAUGAGCUUCAAUCUUCCGGUUACCCGCCAGAGGCUCUUUGCCGCACACCAAAGUCUUCUCUUCAAUUGCCAUCAAUUGAAGCCAUUAGUUGUCGAUAAUCAGCCAUGCAUUAGCGUCAUCCAUGAUGAGUCGUUUGGGCUCAACUUCUUCUUCGGGCACCUACUGGGAAUUUCUCUGAUUUGAACGCCUGCCUUCUUCACUGAUUCCCUCUGCAGCAAAGCCAGCCGAAAGAUAAGUCUUCCUAUCAUUUUCUUUGGUACGCACGUGCCUACG